rnacentral:rRNA from 1 species
AUUGAACGCUGGCGGCAUGCCUUACACAUGCAAGUCGAACGGUAACGCGGGGCAACCUGGCGACGAGUGGCGAACGGGUGAGUAAUGCAUCGGAACGUGCCCAGUAGUGGGGGAUAGCCCGGCGAAAGCCGGAUUAAUACCGCAUACGACCUACGGGUGAAAGCGGGGGAUCGCAAGACCUCGCGCUAUUGGAGCGGCCGAUGUCAGAUUAGGUUGUUGGUGGGGUAAAGGCCUACCAAGCCUGCGAUCUGUAGCUGGUCUGAGAGGACGACCAGCCACCCUGGGACUGAGACACGGCCCAGACUCCUACGGGAGGCAGCAGUGGGGAAUUUUGGACAAUGGGCGCAAGCCUGAUCCAGCCAUGCCGCGUGCGGGAAGAAGGCCUUCGGGUUGUAAACCGCUUUUGUCAGGGAAGAAACGCUCUGGGCUAAUACCCCGGGGUAAUGACGGUACCUGAAGAAUAAGCACCGGCUAACUACGUGCCAGCCGCCGCCGUAACAC